rnacentral:rRNA from 1 species
UACGGGGGGCGCAAGCGUUGUUCGGAUUCAUUGGGCGUAAAGGGUGCGUAGGCGGCGCGGUAAGUCGGGUGUGAAAUCUUGGAGCUUAACUCCGAAACUGCAUUCGAUACUGCCGUGCUUGAGGACUGGAGAGGAUACUGGAAUUUACGGUGUAGCGGUGAAAUGCGUAGAUAUCGUAAGGAAGACCAGUGGCGAAGGCGGGUCUCUGGACAACUCCUGACACUGAGGCACGAAAGCUAGGGGAGCAAACAGG